UACGAAGGGGGCUAGCGUUGCUCGGAAUUACUGGGCGUAAAGGGCGCGUAGGCGGAUUGUUAAGUCAGGGGUGAAAUCCUGGAGCUCAACUCCAGAACUGCCUUUGAUACUGGCGAUCUCGAGUCCGGGAGAGGUGAGUGGAACUGCGAGUGUAGAGGUGAAAUUCGUAGAUAUUCGCAAGAACACCAGUGGCGAAGGCGGCUCACUGGCCCGGUACUGACGCUGAGGUGCGAAAGCGUGGGGAGCAACAGG
rnacentral:rRNA from 1 species